rnacentral:rRNA from 1 species
GACGAACCGUGCGAACGUUAUUCGGAAUCACUGGGCUUAAAGCGCGUGUAGGCGGGACGGCACGUCGGCCGCUGAAAUCCCCCGGCUCAACCGGGGAACGGGCGCCGAUACGACCGUCCUGGAGGGACGUAGGGGGACCUGGAACUUCCGGUGGAGCGGUGAAAUGCGUUGAGAUCGGAAGGAACGCCCGCGGCGAAAGCGAGGUCCUGGACGUCUUCUGACGCUGAGACGCGAAAGCCAGGGGAGCGAACGGG